AAUCAAAAGGCUUAAAAAAAUGUAAAAGUAUUUGUAAAAAUAUUUGUCCCUUGAUCCUAUCCCUAUAUAUAUAUGUAUGUAUAUAUGUAUGUGAUAUCAGCUGCUUUUUGAAGUUUUUGAUAUUUUAAUAGCAGUCAAUCUGCCUUCAAAUGCUGCAUUGUAGUUUCUGUUACGUAUUUCUGUGAUUUUAAUUUUUUAAUUUUGCAUUUGCGCUUUUGUAGUCAAAUUAGUUGCCUUUUAUGUCAGCAUGAUAUCAGAGUAGUUUAUUGUGACAGCCCGUCUCGGAUGUAUAUAUUAUUUAUCCUCGAGAGCGUGGGAAUUUCUAUUAUACCCUUGUUAUUAUUGAGUUGUGUGUGUGUGUAUUAACUAAGGUUUUGGACCAAUAGGUUCUAUCCCUUAUUAUUUGGACCUAAUUAGAACUAAAGACUUAAGAUUUUGGUUGGUUGACUGCAAACUGGACCACACACACAUACCCUCCCUUUAUCCCGUUGACUUUCUCUCCUCCCUCUCGUAUUUUCUUCCAUGUCCGUACAAUUGUACAAACAAACCUUGAACCUUCCAUUUCAUGCACGGAUCGAGCUCGUGGUUAGCAUCAUCAUCUUCAUCUCAUCGUCACGCACUCAUCUAUACCAUUUUUAGAACGUGAAGACCUCAUUUUCCCAAGAACCCGAGAACCCAGUUUUGGGUCAUUGUUCAUGCACUCGUGUUAUCAAAGUUUUUAAAAGAUUUAAAGCUACUAGUGAGUUGGGUCAUUGUUCAUGCACUCGGAGAAGAAAAACGAAGUGAAUUGGACGUCGGGAAGUCGAGUUUGGCGAGUUUCAAGUUUGGCUGGAUUAUCGAGGUUCCUCUGGAGAAAUCCCAUGGAUUUCAAGGCUUGAAAGUGUUUUCUGGCGACGGCGUUGGUCACCGAAGUUCGAAGGUUGAAGACGACGGAAUAUUCUGUCAAGUUUGACAAAAUAUUCUGACGGCGUCAGGUGAGACCUAUCCUGAGGACAAGCACCAUUAAUCGAGGCUCGGGGGCUAUGACCCUUCGACAUAUCAGUUUUAGGUAGAAGUGCUUGGUGGAUCACGAGGAUUUCGACGGGGGUUCUGACAGAGCAUCAUAAAUUUUGGAUCUUAUUGUUUUGAAGAAUGUGCAGAGAUUUUUAAGGUUGGCUAUUAUUGAUUCAGAAACUAGCAAAUUGGAGAUGGUUCUUGUCAAUAUUAUCUGGUAUUUGAGGCCUCAAAAGAGAGUGAUCACAUUUAUGUCAGAUAGACAUGAUGGUAUUUUGAAGAGCGUUGCAGAAUUCUUUCCCAAGUCUCCACAUUCAUUUUGUAUUGUUCAUUUGAAACAAAAUGUCAGUACUUUAUUUCCAAUGGUGGCUGGUGAAGGACUAAAGGAGAAAAUGAUGAAUCUGUUACAAAUUGUGCGUAUGCAUGUACUCCAUCUAAUUUUGAUG